AGUGAACGCUGGCGGUAGGCCUAACACAUGCAAGUCGAACGGCAGCACAGUAAGAGCUUGCUCUUACGGGUGGCGAGUGGCGGACGGGUGAGGAAUACAUCGGAAUCUACUUUUUCGUGGGGGAUAACGUAGGGAAACUUACGCUAAUACCGCAUACGACCUACGGGUGAAAGCAGGGGAUCUUCGGACCUUGCGCGAUUGAAUGAGCCGAUGUCGGAUUAGCUAGUUGGCGGGGUAAAGGCCCACCAAGGCGACGAUCCGUAGCUGGUCUGAGAGGAUGAACCGCCACACUGACACUGAGACACGGUCGAGACUUAUACGAGAGGGCGCAGUGGGAUAUAUGACACUAGGGGCGAACGUCUGACAGAGCUACCGCGCGUGUGUGAAGAAGGUUGUCGGUUUGUAGACCUCUUUUUUUGGGAGAAAAGAAACGGGUUAGUACCCCGCUGUGCUGUGACGGUACCAAGACAAAAAGCCGGGGCUCACCGCG
rnacentral:rRNA from 1 species